rnacentral:rRNA from 1 species
UGGGGAAUUUUGGACAAUGGGCGAAAGCCUGAUCCAGCAAUGCCGCGUGUGUGAAGAAGGCCUUCGGGUUGUAAAGCACUUUUGUCCGGAAAGAAAUCCUUGGCUCUAAUACAGUCGGGGGAUGACGGUACCGGAAGAAUAAGCACCGGCUAACUACGUGCCAGCAGCCGCGGUAAUACGUAGGGUGCAAGCGUUAAUCGGAAUUACUGGGCGUAAAGCGUGCGCAGGCGGUUUGCUAAGACCGAUGUGAAAUCCCCGGGCUCAACCUGGGAACUGCAUUGGUGACUGGCAGGCUAGAGUAUGGCAGAGGGGGGUAGAAUUCCACGUGUAGCAGUGAAAUGCGUAGAGAUGUGGAGGAAUACCGGUGGCGAAGGCAGCCCCCUGGGCCAAUACUGACGCUCAUGCACGAAAGCGUGGGGAGCAAACAGGAUUAGAUACCCUGGUAGUCCACGCCCUAAACGAUGUCAACUAGUUGUUGGGGAUUCAUUCCUUAGUAACGUAGCUAACGCGUGAAGUUGACCGCCUGGGGAGUACGGUCGCAAGAUUAAAACUCAAAGGAAUUGACGGGGUCAUAGCUGUUUCCU